rnacentral:lncRNA from 1 species
CGGACAUAGUCACGGCUGGACUAUGGUAGAAGUUUAACUAAAUGAAUAUAAGUAGUAAAUAGAUAUGUACCUGACUAGCCGGGAACCCAACUGAAAUAGUAGUAAACAAGUAGCUUCUUCUUUAUUUAAUUCUUGAAUAUAUUACAAAGAGAGAGAGAGAGAGUUUUUGAAAAAUAAAAGAAGAGAAUUUCUGAACUCCUGCCUCUUCUCAAGAAUGA